rnacentral:rRNA from 1 species
CAGUCGCCGCGGGAAUACGUAGGUGGCGAGCGUUGUCCGGAUUUAUUGGGCGUAAAGCGAGCGCAGGCGGUUAGAUAAGUCUGAAGUUAAAGGCUGUGGCUUAACCAUAGUACGCUUUGGAAACUGUUUAACUUGAGUGCAAGGGGGGAGAGUGGAAUUCCAUGUGUAGCGGUGAAAUGCGUAGAUAUAUGGAGGAACACCAGUGGCGAAGGCGACUCUCUGGUCUGUAACUGACACUGAGAGACGAAAGCUAGGGGAGCAAAUGGGAUUAGAUACCCCUGUAGUCCCUGUCUCUUAUACA